UACGUAGGGUGCGAGCGUUGUCCGGAAUUAUUGGGCGUAAAGAGCUUGUAGGCGGUCUGUCGCGUCUGCUGUGAAAAUCCGGGGCUCAACCCCGGACUUGCAGUGGAUACGGACAGACUAGAGGUAGGUAGGGGAGAAUGGAAUUCCCGGUGUAGCGGUGAAAUGCGCAGAUAUCGGGAGGAACACCGGUGGCGAAGGCGGUUCUCUGGGCCUUACCUGACGCUGAGGAGCGAAAGCGUGGGGAGCGAACAGG
rnacentral:rRNA from 1 species